UCCGGUUGAUCCUGCCAGAGGCCGCUGCUAUCCGGCUGGGACUAAGCCAUGCUAGUCUAGGGGCUUGUACCCCUUCGGGGGUGCAAGCACCGGCGGACGGCUCAGUAACACGUGGACAACCUGCCCUCGGGUGGGGGAUAACCCCGGGAAACUGGGGCUAAUCCCCCAUAGGUGAUGGGUGCUGGAAUGCCCCAUCUCCGAAAGCGCUCAGCGCCCGAGGAUGGGUCUGCGGCGGAUUAGGUAGUUGGUGGGGUAACGGCCCACCAAGCCUAAGAUCCGUACGGGCUGUGGGAGCAGGAGCCCGGAGAUGGACCCUGAGGCAAGGGUCCAGGCCCUACGGGGCGCAGCAGGCGCGAAACCUCCGCAAUGCGGGAAACCGCGACGGGGUUAGCCGGAGUGCCCGUGCAUUGCACGGGCUGUCGGGGUGCCUAAACAGCACCCCAUAGCAAGGGCCGGGCAAGGCCGGUGGCAGCCGCCGCGGUAAGACCGGCGGCCCGAGUGGCGGCCACUCUUAUUGGGCCUAAAGCGUCCGUAGCCGGCCCAGUAAGUCCCCCGGGAAAUCUGGUCGCUUAACGAUCAGACUUCCGGGGGAUACUGCUGGGCUAGGGACCCGGAGAGGCCGAGGGUAU
rnacentral:rRNA from 1 species